AUCAACAUUCAGGUAUUCAAGAUGAUUCAGUAGUCUCACCGUGGAUCAGCUCAGAUCCUGACAGUUCAGCGUGAUAGCGGGGGACACUGUCUUCGUACCUGGAACGCCGGAAGAACCCGCACUGCGCAGAGAAGGAAAACAACAGUUUAGGUGUGAAGUUGUUGCCAAAGUACUACUGUAGAGGCAGUAAACUCUUCCUUCACACAGACAGACAGAAAGGGAGAAGACAUUUCACAUGAACAAACGAAUAAGGCGAUCCUGUUCUCAUUAAAGCAUCAAAAUGUUGUUUAAAAUAGCUGGUAAGCCACCUGCUCCACUUAACUGGGCCACUCCUUUCACUCUGUCACCAUAAGAGGUUUUUAUUCUCACCUUGGUAAAAGUUUUUGUCCUGCCUUUAUCAGCAAAAGAUUAAAGCUCCUUUUGAGUAAGCAGAA